GAACAAUCUAACUGUAAGUCGCUCUGGAUAAGAGCGUCUUCUAAAUGACUGAAA
rfam:Salmo salar isolate Sally breed double haploid chromosome ssa03, whole genome shotgun sequence.